CGUCGGAAAUUCUUCUUAGAGGGACUGGCGGCAUCUAGCCGCACGAGAUGGAGCAAUAACAGGUCUGUGAUGCCCUUAGAUGUUCUGGGCUGCACGCGUGUUACACUGAAGGGAUCAGCGUGUCUUCCCUGACCGAGAGGUCCGGGUAACCCGCUGAACCCCCUUCGUGGUAGGGAUCGGAGCUUGCAAUUAUUCUCCGUGAACCAGGAAUGCCCAGUAAGCGCAAGUCAUAAGCUUGCGUUGAUUACGUCCCUGCCCUUUGUACACACCGCCCGUCGCUACUACCGAUUGAACGUUUUAGUGAGGUAUUUGGACUGGACCUCCGGAGGUUCGCGCCUCCGGUGCUGUUCGGGAAGACUCCCAAACUUGAGCGUUUAGAGGAAGUAAAAGUCGUAACAAGGUUACCGUAGGUGAACCUGCGGUAGGAUCAUUA
rnacentral:ncRNA from 1 species